AAACCAUGCUGCCAGGCUGAUGGGGUCUCAUCAGAAAGGUGGCCACUGGCUCUGGUUUCCCAAAGUCUAGAUGUCUGAUCUUAGGGCCAGAUGAGUAGGGCCGUGGGGUUUAUUUCCUCCAUCUCCCCUGCUUUCCUCCUGAUGAGGAGGUCUAUAUUCCACAGUCUGAGCAGCUGAGCAACCUGACCUAAGGCCAGUGCUGCCCACCUCUGAGCCCAGGUCGCCUCUCCCACCCAUGACUGCAAGCACUAUUUUCCCACGACUGGGAGAAAUAUAAGCUUUCCCUGGAAAAGGGAAGGUAGGUGAGGCCUGUUUUGAAGAUAAAUAUAACAUGCCAGAAACUGCUGGUGUUUUGAAGAUAAAUAUAACAUGCCAGAAACUGCUGGUGUGUUUAGAACCAUGCUAUUUCACAAGCCUCAUGACCUACCACCUUUACGUUGUCUGCUACUAAGAUGAUAGGGAAACAGAAACACAAAGUGAAGAAAGCAAAAAUCAAAGACCAUUCUAAACACAGCCAGGUAUCAGGGCAUGAGUGGAUAGGGUCCUUACAGGUAUGUUAGAAUAUAUGGCGGUUACACUUGGCUAUAUGUAUACGGGGAGUGCAAAUGUGUGCAUGUUAAAGUCUUUGCAUUUGGAGAAACCAAUGCAUAUGUGUUUGUGACCAAUUGGUCCUCGAGUACUGAACAUAGUACCCAAUAUGUAGGACUCAUCACUUUUGUGCCAUCAGAACAAAUUAAAGUAAGUGGGUUUAGGGGAAGUAAGGAAGGUGUCUGUGCAUUGUAUGGUGUGUGUAGAGGGUCCGGGGAAUAGGUAUGUCUGGGGUGGGUAGGCAGGUGUGUCUGUGAAGUAACUGUAUAAAUAAUGUGUGGAUUACAGAUUAAGGGAGCAUGUGUGUCGGCAGAUGUGUGCGUGGGGUGAAUGCGGAUGCCCAGCCCAGGGUGGAGACCCGGGAAGAUUAAGCCACGGGAGGACAUCCCGCCAGGCCCUGGGCCUUGCAGUUGUCUAACUCACAGCCUCAAAAACAGACUAGCAACAUUUCAUGCCAGUUCCACUUUCAGUGACACCAGGCUCAAGCUUUUCCCACUCCUGGGAAACCUUAAUUUUUUUUAGAGGACUAUAAAGGCAAUACAAAAGAAGCGUAAGAGAAACAAAACGAGAGCAGAAACAUAAAUUUGCCUCUGGCCAAGAGGUAUUCAAAGCGCCAGCCCUGGGCAGAUCCACAUCUGUGUCCCUUCCCUGGGCCCCCGUGGCAUUUCGGUCGCUCCCCGCCAGGUGCCCAGGGCCGGGAGAGGACACGGGCCGUCCUGCAGCCGCCGGGGCUCGGUGCCUGGCAGGACGGGCUCCCGGCCCGAGUUCCCUGAGAUCAGGGCCUGGGGGUUGCGGCCGCCUUCCCCGGGGCACUCCCUCGCCCGACGGAGCACCUGAGGCCCCGAGCAGGGCGGUUCCGGACUAGGGACGCGAGGGUGGUCAAACCGGGCGCCGGGCCGAGCUUGGCCUCGUCCCUCAAGCCCGGGUCCUCAGGCGCAGACGGCCAUCCCCGCCGACGGGGUCACCUCCCACUCUCGUCUGCCGAGCCCGCAACGCGCACGCGCUUCCGCUCGUGGCCGGGGCUGUGGGCCUGGCCCCGCCCCCUCCGGCCGCGCCCUCCGGGUCACGCUCCUGGGCUCGCGCGUGCGCAGGCGCGCGGCGGCCCUUCCCGGGAACUUCCGCGCGGGGCCGACUGAGGUCGCCGAGGUCGCCGAGGUCGCCCUAGUCGAGGCCACCCCGCGGGCUGUUCCAACGCUGCAAGCCCAGAGGGUCUGAAAAUUUUGAUUUGGGACCGGGAAUCAGUUGUGAUUCACUUCUCUCAAAUGAGGGAAGGGAAGGAGAGAGGCUGCUGGCACAGGCCACGUUUCUGGAGGCAUUUGAGGGAAGGAAAGAACGUUGGAGACAAACUGGUGCCGGCAGGUAUUACGCUGUGGUUCGCCCGCGGCCAGCCGUCAGGUGAACCAGGAAUCGAGCCAUUUUACGAAGUGGUCCCACCUCGCGUUUCCCGCCCGGAGCUCUUAGACGCUGGAAUCCAAACUGCCCUCCCCUCCCGGCCUCUAGGGCAGAACCCCAGCCAGCCUUUGGGCCACUGAGCCCACCCUCGUGAGGAGGAACCUGGAAAGCACAGCAAUGUGAAGGUGAAGUGGUGGAUAGAGAGACAGUGGGGCUGAUGUUUGGGGUUGGGGCCCUGUAUGGAGCCCCAAAUGAUUACCAACAGGAAGCAGUUGGUGCAUCUCACUUAGUCCCUCCAUCUGCCUGUCAGAAUCAACUCGGUUCUGUGACUGGGGACAUGAUAGCCAAGAAGUCCUUGUUUGUUUCUUCCCUCCACGCACUAAAAUGAAUACUUUUCAGUUUUCCCUUCUGAACACCUGGUGUACUAGGAAGCUCAGGCACAGGCUAGUCCUGCUCGCUGUCCCCUCCUGAGAGCAACUGUGAUGCCUCCAGCUCCUAAAGCACCUUUCAAGGUGUUCCCUGAGCAGCGGUGGCCAGGGACCUCUGCGGGGACAUGGCGUGGAGAGCCAUGCCUCAGAGGACUGGGAAAUGUGGCAGAGUCAACCACAUACCUGGCAGAGGAGGAGAAAAAACAGGCGGACGAGAAGAAGCAGAGAGUGCGAGGGGAGCUGAAUGGCUCUCACGGCGGAGUGAGAGCCGCGGAUGCCCACUGCCUAGGGGCCUGCCAGACGGCAGAGUGAGAGCCGCGGAUGCCCACUGCCUAGGGGCCUGCCUGCCAGACGGCUUGCUUUCCAGAGCUGCCUUGGAUUUCCGAUGCUCUUCCAGCUCCACCGCCUAGGAGGCCUCACUGUCCUGAAUUCCUGCUCUCCCACAAAGCUCAGGUAACCUAACAGUGCUGCCCGCCCACUUGCAUGGACUGACUCGAGGGAAUUGCUGCUGCUCGCAUCCAGGAGUACCCAGCAAACAUGAGAGACUGCCCUUGGGUUGUCACACACAGGCAGAGGUCUUCUUGAUAACUGGCAGUGGGCCUGUCAGAGGCGUCUGGAGAGGGCAUACACUGACAGUCAUUGUGCAGGAAGCCCUGGGAGAACUGGAGUUCCCAGGAGAGAGGCCUGGGGGCUUGCAAGCCCACCUUGAAGAAGCACAUUUGUCUCCAGUACCAUACGGGCAGGGGGAAAAGCCAUAGGAAAAGUAUUUUGGCUUAACGUAAAGAACUUUAUAGGAGCUGUACAACCAACGUACAGGCUUCCUUGCCUGACUGUGAUUUCUGUGGCCCUGGAAUAUACAAGCAGAUCCUCAUAGAGAUUCCUCCACUGAGCAGGAUAUUGGGGGCCUUCAAGAUCCAUUGGAUUAUUUGCCUAACAGUUUACCAGAAGAUAAUGAAUGUUCUCCUCCCAAAAAGACUUCUGGGGAAAGGAACACAAAGGAAAAUGUUUCUGAAGGCAAAAUCUCAGGAGCAGUGACAUCAAUGUGGCAAGGUGUUUUGGCCAAGGACUUGCCAUUGCCCCUCAAAUUAUAUUGUACCUGGUGUGAAAGACCAGCCACGAUCCAUCCCGCCGUGUGGAAGUGCCUUCCCACCAUCCUCAGCAAUCAUUUGCUCGUCCAAAGCAAGCCCUCCCAAACCGGUUGGGCUCGGCCUCCGGCUUCUUUGCAGCUUCUCUCCACGAUAAAGUGCCAGGUGUGGCAUGAGGGCUGGAGGAGAGAGUGGGGGCAUGGCUGCAGGAGACGCCUGCUCAGGCCCUUCACAGAGCAUACCCUUCUCUCAGUGUCGGCUUGGAGCUGACUUUUCUUUCUUCUCAUGACUCAGCCAUCAUUGAUUGGGAAAGCUGUGUGAGCAUUCUUCAUCCCAGCCAGAAGCCCUGCCCUGCUUAAGCCGUUGGGGCUGUAGGAAUCUGCCCCUUUCUCGUGGAAGGUCUUGUAGGAGAUUUGUCCUUUCCUGAGGGUCCACUUUGGAGCUACCCCAGUCCCCUUCAUUGUUUCUCUGGGGUGGGGGAUAGUGCUUUUUCCCUUCAGCUAGUGCCACCACUGAUGUAUCUUCCCAAGAUGCAUGUCUGAGAGCUGCAGUGGGGGAGCUGCGUAGGGGCCAGGGAUGGGGGUACACACUCCCCGUCAUGGAACGAGAGGUUUGAGAUUGGACAGGCCUGAAUUUGUCACUUGCAACAUGAGUUAGCUGUGUGGCUGGGUAACUUAGUAACUCAUCUGAGCCUCAGUUUCUGCAUCUAUCAACAAGAGGUGAUGGCAUCUCUUGUACUUGGUUGUUGAGGCUCUUCAGUAAGACACUGUGUGUGGAAGCACCUAGCGUGGUACUUGGCUUUGAGUAGGAGCUCAGUGAAUACCACCUCCCUCUGCUUCCCACUGCUUCUUGGAACUCGGAUCCAUUUCAUCCAAAGCUUUCUUGGCAGCCACCCUGCAGCCACACUAGUGGUGGCGGGUACUGAGGGAACAGUCUCACUGGAUGGAAAUCUUGGCACCUUUUAGAACUUCCAGAGAGAUGCAGAGACAGAGUCAGAGGCCACUUGAUGCUAUUGCAGAGUAUGCCUAGAGGAGUGAAUACUGGCCUGUUCACUCACUACGCCAGUGUGGCUGAAAUUCCUCCCAUUAGUCAUUUCCAUAUUUUAAUUGUCUUCUUGAAUCAAUAUAUCCACUUGGGAAAUAGUCUGUGUAGUCUGUAGGCUGGAGUGUUGAAAGCCAUUUUCAAAGGUGGAGAAGAAGUCCAGUCAGUGUUUUGUUUAUCUUGUCCAGUGGCACAUCAGACACUUUAAAAAUGAGAUUAGUUGACUGACAUCUUGGAGCAGAGUCUGUCAUUUACCUUUCUUUUGGCUGGAGCAUUGAGUAUGGCCCUGCCUGCAACAGGAAAUCAUCAACAUUUUUGAUGAUCCAGCGAGUGUCUUUUAAGAGCUCUGUGAUUCGGAUGCCUGCUACCUCGUGGAUGAACCUUGAAGACAUUAUGCUGUGAGGUAACACCAAGGAAUGGAUGUUUCUUGACAACCCAGCCUGAUUAAGUAGUAAAAGGAAAGAAAAGAAAACCAAGUCCAAGUGUUUUGGAGCAGGAGGCUUUUUCCCUCGAGCUGGGCCUCCAUUGCGCUAGAAAUGGAAUGCUGGCCUUCGCAUUCUAAAACUUCCAGCUCAGUGACUUCUGCUCUAUACUUGUCCUGUCUUGGCAUUUAAUGUGACUGGAAGAAAGAAUGUGUGCAACUGUAUAAUGUUAGAGCAAUCAGCCAGUAGGAGGAGUGGGCGUAACUUCUUCUGUUCCGGGUGGGAAGCCUGUUCAUAAAGAGAGAAGCCCCUGACAGCUGAAAGCCCCUCUGCCUUGUCCCCAGGCCAUUUUCCCCGUGAACUGGCAAAUGCAGUCUGUGCAGCCACCCUGAGUGCACCUGCCUUGCUCCCCGAUGAGAGCUGCUGGUGGGGACGACAUCCACUUGGCAGAAGGCUGUGAGCGGGGCUCUGGGGGAAGCCAGCUGCCAGCCGCCUUUCAGACCUCUCUCUGCAGGGAGCUGUUCUUUCCUGACAGCGUCUACCUUCAGAAUCACCUGAGCCUCAGCAGUGCACCAGGUUUUCUCUUUGCAGCACGGCACAUUCCAAAUCCCUGGGCAGGGAGGCCUCGCCCAGAUUCCAGAUGAGCAGAUGAGCGCCUCAGCAGCCCUGGCUCCUCCCGCACACCUUUUCCCCUUCUGAGUGUUUGUGCCUCGUGACUUUGAGCUGCGGAGGCAUCAGGCAGGGACGUGCCUGUGUUUGCACGUGACAACACUGGUCUGGGAGGGGAGGUAAGUUUCUUCCUCAUCCCAAGCACAUUUUUGCAGCUGUCCCGGUUCUGCCGCCAGAAGCAGUUACAACAGAGGGAGUUUGCCCACGGGCUUUGGGCCAAGCCUCUUCUGCAAGGGCAGCUCCAGGUACCCCUCCAAGCUGCCUCACGAACCUUUCAAAGGCUUCCGAGCCUCCUCUUAACAUGGCCCCCCCUGCCUGUCCUGCUUAAUUGCUUCACGUCCCUUCUACACUGCAGCCCAGAUGGACUGCUCGGCCUCCCAUCACAGCCCGACCACGCGGGCUCUGUCUGGGCCAUUUGUCCUUGUGGCGCCUGGCCACUCAUCCUGCUGGCCCCUCUGUGUUAGUGUUCUCCAGAGAAACAGACCAACAGGGUAUGUAUACAGUAGAUAGAGAAUAGGCAGGUGAUUUAGGUGGGUGACUUAGAUAAAUGGAUGCAGAUCUUUCUAUAGAUUCCGGUAUCUGUAUCGAUCCCUCCCUCCCUCCCUCCCCCCAUGCAUCCACCCAUCUACAGAGAUUUAUUUUAAGGAACCGGUGUGCAUGAUUGUGGCACCUGCUAAAUCUGAUAUCUGCAGGGCAGGAGGUAGGCUGGACCCCUAGGGAGAGUUGACAUUGAGCCCAAAUGGGCACCUUUCAGUCAAGUGCAGUUAACCCUUUACACGGUGCUGGGUGCACCCUCCCCCCCACCUGGUGGGUGCUUGCAGCUUUCUCUGACCCUUCAGCCCAUGCCGUUUCUCUGUUCUCCACGCCUGCCCUGCAGGCCCCUUUUUCCCUGACCCGCUAAUUCCUCUCCUCCCCUGAUGGCGCUCACUUGGACUAGUGGGAAC